GAUUUAAGACAGGACUCUCUCCUAAAGCGAGGCAAAGGGAAUUAACUACCUACCUCGCAGGAGCACUGUAAGGGCACAUUUUAGGGGGAAGUGCUUUGGAAAUGGAAAUGUUCAUAAAAACAUCAGAUUUUAAAUAUAUGACUAAGCUGUGCCAGUCCCUGUGUAAGUUGUUCCUGGGUGACUGAGCUGCUUCAGGACCUGUGUUAGCCUCUAUUGCUCCCCUCUUUUGCAGAAGAAAAAAGUAUUUUAGCUUUACUCACUCCCUUCCGGGGAGGCUGGUGUUCUGUAAGGAGAGGACUGCAGAAGCCUGAACCACCAGUUUCAACAGGCAAAUCUCAGGAGAUUUUCCAAAUCUUCAGUAGGGGAGACCUUCAGGACGUCAGGACCUGGUCUGGCUGCUGUUGUUUGCACAUAGUCUGUGGAGCUGGGACCUCCCUGGAGCUUCGCCAGAGCUCUGAACUCCCCCUCCUUGCCU
rnacentral:lncRNA from 1 species